GAUUAAGUUAUUAAGGGCGCACGGUGGAUGCCUUGGCACUAGAAGCCGAUGAAGGACGUUACUAACGACGAUAUGCUUUGGGGAGCUGUAAGUAAGCUUUGAUCCAGAGAUUUCCGAAUGGGGAAACCCAACAUGAGUUAUGUCAUGUUAUCGAUAUGUGAAUACAUAGCAUAUCAGAAGGCACACCCGGAGAACUGAAACAUCUUAGUACCCGGAGGAAGAGAAAGAAAAUUCGAUUCCCUUAGUAGCGGCGAGCGAAACGGGAAGAGCCCAAACCAACAAGCUUGCUUGUUGGGGUUGUAGGACACUCUAUACGGAGUUACAAAGGACGACAUUAGACGAAUCAUCUGGAAAGAUGAAUCAAAGAAGGUAAUAAUCCUGUAGUCGAAAAUGUUGUCUCUCUUGAGUGGAUCCUGAGUACGACGGAGCACGUGAAAUUCCGUCGGAAUCUGGGAGGACCAUCUCCUAAGGCUAAAUACUCUCUAGUGACCGAUAGUGAACCAGUACCGUGAGGGAAAGGUGAAAAGCACCCCGGAAGGGGAGUGAAAUAGAACCUGAAACCGUGUGCUUACAAGUAGUCAGAGCCCGUUAAUGGGUGAUGGCGUGCCUUUUGUAGAAUGAACCGGCGAGUUACGAUUUGAUGCAAGGUUAAGCAGUAAAUGUGGAGCCGUAGCGAAAGCGAGUCUGAAUAGGGCGUUUAGUAUUUGGUCGUAGACCCGAAACCAGGUGAUCUACCCUUGGUCAGGUUGAAGUUCAGGUAACACUGAAUGGAGGACCGAACCGACUUACGUUGAAAAGUGAGCGGAUGAACUGAGGGUAGCGGAGAAAUUCCAAUCGAACCUGGAGAUAGCUGGUUCUCUCCGAAAUAGCUUUAGGGCUAGCCUCAAGUGAUGAUUAUUGGAGGUAGAGCACUGUUUGGACGAGGGGCCCCUCUCGGGUUACCGAAUUCAGACAAACUCCGAAUGCCAAUUAAUUUAACUUGGGAGUCAGAACAUGGGUGAUAAGGUCCGU
rnacentral:rRNA from 1 species